rnacentral:rRNA from 1 species
GACGAACGCUUGCGGCGUGCCUAAGAAAUGCAAGUCGAGCGGGGUUUCACGCUGAUCGAAGCUUCGGCAGAGGUCUUGUGGAAUCUAGCGGCGAACGGUCGCGUAACACGUAAGCAACCUGCCCCGAAGCAUGGGAUAGCCCUCCGAAAGGAGGAGUAAUACCGCAUGUGGAUGUCUUCUCGCAUGAGAAGACAUCUAAAGCAGCAAUGCGCUUCGGGAUGGGCUUGCGGCCUAUCAGCUAGUUGGUGGGGUAACGGCCUACCAAGGCGACGACGGGUAGCUGGUCUGAGAGGACGAUCAGCCGGAUUGGGACUGAGAUACGGCCCAGACUCCUACGGGAGGCUG